UACGUAGGGGGCAAGCGUUGUCCGGAUUUAUUGGGCGUAAAGAGCGUGUAGGCGGCCAGAUAGGUCUGUUGUGAAAACUCGAGGCUCAACCUCGAGACGCCGAUGGAAACCAUUUGGCUAGAGUCCGGAAGAGGAGAGUGGAAUUCCUGGUGUAGCGGUGAAAUGCGCAGAUAUCAGGAAGAACACCCGUGGCUAAGGCGGCUCUCUAGUACGGUACUGACGCUGAGGAGCGAAAGUGUGGGGAGCGAACAGG
rnacentral:rRNA from 1 species